rnacentral:rRNA from 1 species
ACUUAAAGUUAUAGAUAUAUUAUCUUAAUUUUUAUUAUAAUCAAAACAUUAUUAAAUUUAGUAAAGGUGAUUAAAAAUUAUUUUGUGUCUUUAAUUAAAGUACUGCGAAGGAACUAAAUUAAUUGAAAUAAAGAAAAAAUAAAAAUUUGUACCUUUUGUAUCAUGGUUUAACUAGAUUUUAAUUGAGUAUUCAAUUUCUCGAAAUUUAAUGGGCUAUUUUUAACCGUUAUAUUAGUAAUUUAAGAUUAAUUGUAGCAAAAAUUUUCUUAGAGUUAAAAAUAGAAAUGAAAUUUUAUUCGCAUUAAAUGAUAGCUAGUUCUUUCAAAAAGAUAUAGAAGUAUCUUAAAUUAAUUUUUUUUAAUAACAAAAUUAUUAAACAAAUUUAAUUUAAUUAGACUUUUGAGGAUAAGCUCGAAAGUUAUAUGAUGUUUGCAUUUUAUUAAAUUUAAAUUUAAGCUUGAAAAUGGUUAAAAUUUAUAGAUUUUGUUACAAUUUCAUUUCCUAAAUACAAAUAUAAUUAAUUUGCUAAAGCUUAAGAAAGAUAUCUCAAGAAUUAAUAAGAGUUAUAUUUAUGUUAAAAUGAGUAUUUAAUACAUUUUAAUUUAUUUAAGAAUAUACAAUCUUAAAAUUUAUUUUUAUAUAUUUGUUUAAAAUUAUAAAAAGGAAUUCGGCAAAUAAAUAUUCUGCCUGUUUAUUAAAAACAUGGCUCCUUGUACAGUAUAAAUAAGGAGUCGGACCUGCCCAGUGAGAUUUUUCAACGGCCGCGGUACUCUGACCGUGCAAAGGUAGCAUAAUCAUUUGCCUUAUAAUUGAAGGCUAGUAUGAAUGGUUUGACAAGAAUAUAACUGUCUCUUUAUAAUUUGAUAGAAUUUUAUUUUAGGGUGAAGAAGCCUUAAUUAAAUUAAAAGACAAGAAGACCCUAUCGAGCUUGAAACAACUUAGUAGAUUUUAAUUUAUAAUGAGCAGAAAAUUAGCUAUUAAAAAUUUUGGUUGGGGCGACUAAGGAACCAAGAAAGCUUCCUUUAAAAAUAAUAAACAUAUAAGUACUGAUCCAAAAUUUGUGAUUAAAAAAAUUAGUUACCGUAGGGAUAACAGCAUUAUCUUUUUUAAGAGUUCUUAUCGAAAAAAAGGUUUGUGACCUCGAUGUUGGACCAGAAUAUCCUAAAGAUGCAGAAGUCUUUAAGGGUUGGUCUGUUCGACCAUUAAAAUUCUACGUGAUCUGAGUUUAGACCGGCGUGAGCCAGGUCAGUUUCUAUCUUUAAUUUUUUUGAUAAACUUAGUACGAAAGGACCAGUUUAUUACAAUAAUUUGUGUAUAAGAUGACAAAGUAUAAUGAAAACUUAAAUUUAUA